rnacentral:rRNA from 1 species
AGUGAACGCUGGCGGUAGGCCUAACACAUGCAAGUCGAACGGCAGCACAGUAAGAGCUUGCUCUUACGGGUGGCGAGUGGCGGACGGGUGAGGAAUACAUCGGAAUCUACUUUUUCGUGGGGGAUAACGUAGGGAAACUUACGCUAAUACCGCAUACGACCUACGGGUGAAAGCAGGGGAUCUUCGGACCUUGCGCGAUUGAAUGAGCCGAUGUCGGAUUAGCUAGUUGGCGGGGUAAAGGCCCACCAAGGCGACGAUCCGUAGCUGGUCUGGGAGGAUGAUCAGCCACAAUGGAAAUGAGACACGGUCCAGACUCCUACGGGAGGCAGCAGUGGGGAAUAUUGGACAAUGGGCGCAAGCCUGAUCCAGCCAUACCGCGUGGGUGAAGAAGGCAUUCGGGUUGUAAAGCCCUUUUGUUGGGAAAGAAAAGCAGCAGGUUAAUACCCCGCUGUUCUGACGGUACCCAAAGAAUAAGCACCGGCUAACUUCGUG